AACGAACGCUGGCGGCAGGCUUAACACAUGCAAGUCGAGCGCCCCGCCAGUGGAGCGGCAGACGGGUGAGUAACGCGUGGGAACGUACCCUUAUCUUCGGGCUAGCUCCGGGAAACUGGAAUUAAUACCGAAUGUGCCCUUUGGGGGAAAGAUUGAUCGGAUAAGGAUCGGCCCGCGUUAGAUUAGCUAGUGGGUGGGGUAAAGGCCUACCAAGGCGACGAUCCAUAGCUGGACUGAGAGGAUGAUCAGCCACAAUGGGACUGCGGCCCGGACCAAACUCGUACGCGAGGCAGGAGUGGAGAAUAUUGGGCGAUGGACGCAAGCGUGAUCCAGCCACGCCGCGUGAGUGAUGAAGGCCGUAGGGUUGUAAAGCUCUUUCAGCGGAGAAGAUAAUGACGGUAACCGGAGAAGAAGCCCCGGCUAACUACGUG
rnacentral:rRNA from 1 species